UACGUAGGGGGCAAGCGUUGUCCGGACUUACUGGGCGUAAAGGGUGCGUAGGCGGCCUGCUGCGUCGGUGCUGAAAGCGCCCGGCUUAACCGGGCGAGGCGUGCCGAUACGAGCGGGCUGGAGCCUUGGCGAGGGUGGCGGAACUCCUGGUGUAGCGGUGGAAUGCGCAGAUAUCAGGAGGAACACCGAUGGCGAAGGCAGGUCUCUGGGCACUACUGACGCUGAGAAGCGAAAGCACGGGGGAGCGAACAGG
rnacentral:rRNA from 1 species